rnacentral:rRNA from 1 species
UGGGGAAUUUUGGACAAUGGGGGAAACCCUGAUCCAGCCAUCCCGCGUGUGCGAUGAAGGCCUUCGGGUUGUAAAGCACUUUUGGCAGGAAAGAAACGUCAUGGGUUAAUACCCCGUGAAACUGACGGUACCUGCAGAAUAAGCACCGGCUAACUACGUGCCAGCAGCCGCGGUAAUUCGUAGGGUGCAAGCGUUAAUCGGAAUUACUGGGCGUAAAGCGUGCGCAGGCGGUUCGGAAAGAAAGAUGUGAAAUCCCAGAGCUCAACUUUGGAACUGCAUUUUUAACUACCGGGCUAGAGUGUGUCAGAGGGAGGUGGAAUUCCGCGUGUAGCAGUGAAAUGCGUAGAUAUGCGGAGGAACACCGAUGGCGAAGGCAGCCUCCUGGGAUAACACUGACGCUCAUGCACGAAAGCGUGGGGAGCAAACAGG